rnacentral:tRNA from 1 species
UCCCUGGUAGCCUAGUGGUUAGGGAUCCAGCAUUGUCAUUGCUGUGAUGCAGGUUCAGCCCCUGACCUGGGAA